rnacentral:tRNA from 1 species
AUUUAUAUAGUUUAGAUAAAACAUUACAUUUUCACUGUAAAAACAAAGAAACCUUUUAUAAAUA